rnacentral:lncRNA from 1 species
GGGUCACACCCACGGCACAUGGAGGUUCCCAGGCUAGGGCUCCAAUCAGAGCUAUAGCCAUGGGCCUACGCCAGAGCCACAGCAAUGCAGGAUCCGAGCCGCAUCUGCGACCUACACCACAGCUCACAGCAACGCCAGAUCCUUAACCCCCAGAGCAAGGCCAGGCAUCGAACCCGCAACCUCAUGGUUCCUAAUCGGAUUUGUUAACCAUUGAGCCAUGACGGGAACUCCAUAAUUGGCUAAUUUUUAUGUUUUAUAGCUAUGAAUAUUAGAGCAAGGAAUGACCCAAUCCAUUGUUUUUAGACAUAGAAUCUUUUUGCGUUUUUGUCCCAUAAUAUCUCAUAAUAUUUCAAUAGGAAAUGCCUCUCCAUUUUCAUCACCUACUAUAAACUAUCAAAAUGUAAUGGGGAGUUGCUCUUCAGUGGGCAUAAAUUUUAUCAUGCAAGAUAAUAAUAAGUUCCAGAGAUCUGCUGUCCAACCUCGUGCCCAUAGUUUAGUUACAACACUAUAUUGGACACUAAACAUUCCAGAGGGUGAAUCUCAUGUUAAACGUGUUUACCACAGUUUAAAAAGAAAAAAAAAAAAGGGAAAGAAAGUGAGAGACAUGGGGGUGCCAGGAAUAGGGGAAGAAGGGAGGAAGAAAGGAAGGAACAACAACACCACAAAUUAAUACUCUAGAGAGUGGAGCCCUCACCUCACUUGUUUUUCAAGGCUGUGCUAACCUGGACAGAAUUGGUAUGGCAUUGGGCUAGAGCCAUUUUGAAUCCAUCUUUUCUCUGGUUCAGAGGUUUUGCCAUGUCCACUAAGCAUGGGAAGGGCCUCACAGAAGCCACCAGUGAGUGGAGAGAAUGAGCCCACCCCACCCCCCACCUUUAUAUGUAAUUCAAAAUAGUAGUUGAGUUUUCAAAAGGACACUGCUAAAAGUGAUGUGGAAAUGAGAAUAGUUUCCUUCUAGAUGUUUUUCAGUUUGCAAAAUUCUGGAUACAUUCAUCAAAGAGGAAUCUGCCUCUUUUUGAUUUUGUUUCCCACUUCCCUGCUCUGUUGAGACCUGUGACUGGUCUGUCUUUUGGGAAAGCCAGCAAGGGCCAUACAUAGCAGCAGCUUCAACUGCAUUUUCCUUUGAUCUUCUAAAUUCCAAAGCUAUUUUUUAAAAAUCAGAACUGAUAGAUGCUUUGCAAAAAUUUCUUUGUCUAUUUUCUGUGAUUUCUCAGUUUAGUUUCUAAAGCAAACAUAUUUCUCAACAGCAUUUAAGAUGUUCUGGUCAUUUUGGUUUUAUUUUCUACUGUUCAAAUUCAUGCAAAAUUGGGUAGUACAAUAAACAUUUAAUAAAAUAGGGGCUCCACCAAAAAGCUUUGCCACAAGUCACUGCCUUCUCAAGGCCAUUAAAUGAAGAGGAUUUUAUAAAUCUCUCUGGUCUUAGGUGGAUCGAACAACAAAUUUGGGAUUCAUUAUUAUCCAGAAACAGUGAUCAUCUAGACACUGUUGAUUAUAGAGUCAUUCUCUCUGUCCUAUUUUUAAAUAUCCCUCCAUAUCAGCUUUCUUCUGCCCAAAUGCACUAGGUGAAACUAAGUAAGUCCUCCGCUGCCUGACCUCAGUUCCUUACUGUGAUUUUGCCGUGUUAAUUUUCACUGCCUGUCAAGUACUCUCACUCUUCAAAAUGGCUUGGGAUAUUAGGAAUCUGCCUUUAGUAAGGUCUCCACUUAUUUUGAUUUAUUUAGGUCAUUAAUCUGUAUUUUUUUCCAACACCUAAGAUGAUGAUUUUUAAAAAGAGUUUUACAGAGAAGAAAAGCAUGGACUUGGAGAAUAGACUUGUGGCUGCCCACAGGAGAGGGAGGGAGUGGGAGGGAUCGGGAGCUUGGGGUUAUCAGAUACAAUUUAGAAUAGAUUUACAAGGAGAUCCUGCUGAGUAGCAUUGAGAGCUAUGUCUAGAUACUCAUAUGCAACAGAACAAAGGGUGGGGAAAAAAAUGUAUACAUGAAAGAGUAACUUGACCCCCAUGCUGUACAGCGGGGGGAAAGAAUAAAAAAUAAAAAAUAAAUAAAAUAAAAAAAAGAAAGAAAAUUUCUGUUUUUGCUUUUUAUUGAAGUAUAGUAAAUUUUUACAAUGUUGUGUUUAUUUCACAUGUAUAAUACAAUGAUUUGGUUAUAUAUACAUAUAUGUAUAACUUUUUAGAUUCUUUCCAUUAUUAGUUAUUAUAAGAUUUUGAGUAUAUGUGCUAUACACAAGGUCCUCACUGUACAGAGUUUUAAAGGUGACAGAGGUGCUUUGAAUACCUAGCUAGAAUCCACCAGGGAAUGUGUGUACUUUAAUAACUCAAGGCCCCAAGGAAAGAGUCUUAUGUGUGAUGUAAGAGGAAGACAGAAAGGCACUGAAGGCAAAAUCUUAAGUUUAAGAAUCUUGAAACCAAGAGAAGUUGCCAGAACGUUCCAGAAUCCUCUGAGACAGUUUUUCACAGAUAAAAGAGACUUCCAAAAACUUCUCAUAGAAUUUUUUUUCAUGAUUUGACUUUCUUUCAUGAGAAUAUAAUUAAUUUUACACCAAGAAUAAUCUAAAGAUUCUUUUGGAACAGCUUGAGAGAUUCAGAUAUCCUGGGGAAAUAAUUUAUAGAUUCCACUCCCACGUGUAACCACCAUCACCAGUUCCUCCCUGGUGUCCUGGAUUAGGACCCAUGAAAAUCAGGGCUAGUUCUGACCUGGUGUUAUAGGAACAUGAACACUAAGGGACUAGAAACACAGGAGAAACUUCAUGCUCCAGUCUCUGCACUCCCAGCACUAGAGAUUCAUUUCUCUGAGCCAUGAAGCCUUUUCUUUAAAUCAUAGAAUCUUAGAAAUGAGAGAAAUCUUAGAAUGAACCCAAUUCUACCAUUUUAUUGAUGAAUAAACUGAGGUACCUACCAUUCAACAUGUCCAAAGUCACAGUUAGUGUGCUAGCUAUUUACCUGUGACUAGAAAUCAAGUCUUUAAACCCAUUCCAAUUAGUUAUGACUAAAAUUAACCUAAAAGAAGUUUUCUGAAAGAAUCCUGAGUGUCUUUGCCUGGAUCCCUCAAAAUCAGGGCCUUGCACAAAGGAUUCCUUAGAGUUUAUCUGGGAAAAUGAUGCUAGGGAACAGGGAUAUGGGGCCUGAGAGAGAGAAAUGGGAGUGGAGGGUGAAAAGACAAUUCAAGGAAGAGUUAUUAAGUUGGCCAACCUACUCACACUAGGGAUCUGGGUGACUGGUGCUCAACUUCCCUGAAACCUUCCUGAAAUACACGUGGGGACAAAAGGAUAUAGCCGAUAUAUUGGCUUUGAUUGGUCAAUGGUGACUCUAUGGGCACUAAGUCCCUUGGGCUUCCAUAUGGUGAUUUCAGGAAUAGGGAACAGAUUCCCACACUGUGGUAUCACAGAAGUACCCAAGUACCCAAGUAGGAAACGAGAAGUAGAGUUUUGGCCUUCUGUGUGAUGCCUUAAGAAUGAAGCUUUAGGAAGAUGAUGGAAUGGCAUUGAACCAGUAGCCAUAGUGUGGCUGGCAAAAUAAAUUAAGUCAGGAGAAAUCUGAAGGGCAGCACAAGAGAUGUUUUCUAGACUCUGCAGAGGAGCUGAAAGUGCAGAAAAACUUGCUUGGUGCACUUUCCUUACCACCCCUCCAAAUAAAUCUUGUGUAAUCAGCAUCUCUAAUGUUUCCCACACCCUUUUAUGUCUCUAGUCUGUGGGUAUCAGUGUCAUGCUCCUUUCUCCUGAUAUGCUAGCUCUCUCUGUGUCAUGUAAAGUUGGCCACCAAAGCUUCCCAAGUUUAAUAUCUUAGAUUUUUAACCCAGGAGAGAAACUGCUCUUCCUCUCUAUCCCAAGUUUGAAAAUCUCAUGGAUGGGAUACUGGUCUAUCCAGGGACAAAUGCCAUCUCCUGGAUCAUAAGGCAGGAUCAUAGAGGACAUGGUGGGUGGAGAAGGGUGAAGUUCGUCGUCAUGGGGAUAAAGUGUGGUAGGUUGUUGGAGGAUGAAACAGCAGGUCCCCACAAAACCAGCCAAAGAAGUUUUACUGCUAGAUAGUUUCUAUUAAAAUGCAACUAUACUUGAAGGAAUAACACCAAAUUAACCUCUUAUUGAGCAUUCUUCAAGCUUGGAUGACCUCUGAGAGUGUAGAAAUGGGACAGGGUAUAGACCUCUAGUAAGGGGGAGAGAGCAUCCCAAUGGGAGAUAGGGUCAUUCUCUUGUUUUGUGGUUAACCCUGGGCUUAUCCCUUGAUUUAGCCUCCAGCAGACUGUGAAGCUGUAGGUAGUGGAAUACAAUAUUAAGUGUGAAUAAUUUUUUUUAAAACCCUUGGUAAUACUUUUGGAGAAAGAAGAAUCACAACAGAUUUCUUUCUCUCUUCCAGUGCAUUUUAACUUAUUGAGGCUAUUUUCUUAUUAAAGUGGAACUCACUUGGAGAUGACAAGAGGGAAUUAAAUCUUCAAAUAGAACAAAAAUGUUGGUUGACAUUCUCUCAUCAGAAAAUGAAAAGUCAAAUGGAGAUUUCACCACUUGAUUUAUCUGGCAUACUUGCUAUCUCUAUAUAAUAGCUAAUAUCCUUUGCAUGUUAACCAUGUGUCUGGCUGUGUGCCCCAUGUUUUGCACGCAUUCAUCUACCCAAUCCUCAGAAGUAUCCUGUGACACUUUUCCCCUCCACUUUUUCCCAGUGAAAGAAAUUGAAGUACAGAGAAAUGAUGUGCUCUUGUUUUAACAGCUAGUAAGUGAGAUUCAGAUCCAGGCUGUGUUGUUCCACAGCCUUUCUCCUUAACCUUUUUGCUAUAUUGUCUCUCUGAUGAAUUAUGAAAUUAACCUUAAAGAGACUGUUCUGAACAACUACAAUAGAAAAGUACCAGAGUUCCCAUUGUGGAUCAUUGGGUUAUGAAAAUGACCAAUAUCCAUGAGGACGCAGAUUCGAUCCAUGGCCUCGCUCAGUGGAUUAAGGAUCCAGCAUUGCCAUGAGCUGUGGUAUAGGUGGCAGAGGUGGCUCAGAUCUGGCACUGCUGUGGCUAUGUUGUAGGCCAGCAGCUGCAGCUCUGAUUCGACCCCCAGCCUGGGAAUUUUCAUAUGCCACAAGUGCAGCCCUAAAAAGCAAAAAGCAAAAAAAAAAAAAAAAAAAAAAAAAAAAAAAGAGAGAGGGAGAGAGAAAAGUGCCCUUCAGAUAGGUUUUUAAUUGUUGACUUACUUUUGUUUUGUCUGACUUAGCUUGACUUCUGCCUCUACAAUGAUAUUUAUAUAAAACUGACAUCUGUUAAAAAGGUCAUGUGGGUACAUGUCCUUUUUAGACUUUGAGAUAUAUUAUGGUAAUAUCAUUCUCUAUAUUAUUUACAGAGAUGAAUACCAUAAAUUUUUGAUAAAGUAAACAAACCAAUAAAUGAUAGUAAACUUGAUAAUUGAAUCAGCGAGUACCUGGGGAAAGGAUCUUUUAAAAUAUUUUCCACUUGAACAUAGGUAGAAAUGAAAACUUUACCUAAACUUAUACUCUUAUAAAAUACUCCCCAUACCUUAUUAGAUAUUAGGUAACAGUCCUCUGAUCUCAUGUUCUUGAGAUCAUUAAAUUCAAGUAUUGCCUACUAAAUGGAAAACUACUAUUCGAGAGAUGUCUUACGGGGAACAGAAUAAGCUUAAACACUGGUCCAUCAGAAAAACAAAAUGACAACAACAACAAACCCAAAGCUAUUGUGGGCCUCCUUAACUUUUAGUAGUCGCCAAAUAAUUUAUAUAGGUAUGUGUUUGUGUGUGUGUUUAGUGGAGAAAGUUGUCCUCUUUUUUUUCAAGUGUGCCUUCCCAGUCCUGCUUCUAGGAAACACUGGCUCCAUGAGAAGAGCAUUACUUACAGAGAGCAUCACCAGUCCUGGGGCUCCAUCAGAUGAUAUCCCAUGGUGCCCAUCUAACAAGCUAAGUGUAGAGACAGGACCUGCAUUCAGAAAGAUAAACAAUGAUGAUAAUCACAUGCUGAGUUCCAAAUAAGCAGUGCUAACCAUAAACACUAUGAAAAGACACUGAAGGAUGAUUGCUGAACAAGGGGGUGUGGUGGUAGCAGUAGACAUGGGAAGGGUGGGAUCUAUCCCUAAUUGUUAGGGUCUUUCUAAAGAAUGACUGCUUU